UACGUAGGGUCCGAGCGUUGUCCGGAAUUACUGGGCGUAAAGAGCUCGUAGGUGGUUUGUCGCGUUGUCCGUGAAAUCCCACAACUCAAUUGUGGGUCUGCGGGCGAUACGGGCAGACUGGAGUACUGCAGGGGAGACUGGAAUUCCUGGUGUAGCGGUGGAAUGCGCAGAUAUCAGGAGGAACACCGGUGGCGAAGGCGGGUCUCUGGGCAGUAACUGACGCUGAGGAGCGAAAGCGUGGGGAGCGAACAGG
rnacentral:rRNA from 1 species